GACGAACGCUGGCGGCGUGCUUAACACAUGCAAGUCGAACGGUGAAGGGACCGGUUUUUGCUGGUUCUGGAUGAGUGGCGAACGGGUGAGUAACACGUGAGUAACCUGCCCCCUUCUUCUGGAUAACCGCAUGAAAGUGUGGCUAAUACGGGAUAUUCUGCGACUGCUGCAUGGUGGGUGUGGGGAAGAUAUUGUUUCGGUGGGUGAUGGGGUCGCGGCCUAUCAGGUUGUUGGGGGAGUGAUCGACUACCAAGGCGGUGCCGGGUAGCCGGCCUGAGAGGGUGGACGGCCCCGCAGGUGCGGAGACACGGACACGCCUACUACAGGAAGCGGCAGUGAAGCGUAUGGCACAAUGGGCGGACGGCUGGUGCAGCGACGCCGCGGGAGGGAUGGACGCCUGCGCGUUGUAAUCCUCUAUCGCCAGUGAAGCAGUCCUGUCCCUUUUGUGGGUGUGUUGACGGUAGCUGGAUAAGAAGCCCCGGCUAACUACGUG
rnacentral:rRNA from 1 species